rnacentral:rRNA from 1 species
CUACGGGAUGCACCAGUGAGGAAUAUUGGACAAUGGGCGAAAGCCUGAUCCAGCAAUACCACGUGAGUGAUGAAGGCCUUCGGGUUGUAAAGCUCUUUUAACAGGGAAGAUAAUGACGGUACCUGUAGAAAAAGCACCGGCUAAUUCCGUGCCAGCAGCCGCGGUAAUACGGAAGGUGCUAGCGUUGUUCGGAUUUAUUGGGCGUAAAGCGUACGUAGGCGGUUUAGUGUGUUAGAUGUGAAAGCCCAGGGCUUAACCUUGGAAUUGCAUUUAAAACUGCUAGACUUGAGUAUAACAUGGGAUGGCGGAAUUUCUAGUGUAGGGGUGAAAUCCGUAGAUAUUAGAAGGAACACCAGUAGUGCAGACGGCCAUCUUGGUUAUCACUGACGCUAAGGUACGAAAGCGUGGGUAGCAAACAGGAUUAGAUACCCCGGUAGUC